rnacentral:tRNA from 1 species
GUUGGGGUGGCAGAGCCUGGUAAAUGCAAAAGACCUAAGCUCUUUGAUUCAGAGGUUCAAAUCCUCUUCCCAACU